CAGGGUGACAGGUGGUGCAUGGUUGUCGUCAGCUCGUGUCGUGAGAUGUUGGGUUAAGUCCCGCAACGAGCGCAACCCUCGACCUUAGUUGCCAGCAUUCAGUUGGGCACUCUAAGGUGACUGCCGGCUAAAAGUCGGAGGAAGGUGGGGAUGACGUCAAAUCAUCAUGCCCUUAUGACCUGGGCUACACACGUGCUACAAUGGGCGGUACAAAGGGUCGCGGACCCGCGAGGGGGAGCCAAUCCCAAAAAGCCGCUCUCAGUUCGGAUUGCAGGCUGCAACUCGCCUGCAUGAAGCCGGAAUCGCUAGUAAUCGCGGAUCAGCAUGCCGCGGUGAAUACGUUCCCGGGCCUU
rnacentral:rRNA from 1 species